GUGCCAGCAGCCGCGGUAAUACGUAGGUGGCAAGCGUUGUCCGGAAUUAUUGGGCGUAAAGGGCUCGCAGGCGGUUCCUUAAGUCUGAUGUGAAAGCCCCCGGCUCAACCGGGGAGGGUCAUUGGAAACUGGGGAACUUGAGGACAGAAGAGGAGAGCGGAAUUCCACGUGUAGCGGUGAAAUGCGUAGAUAUGUGGAGGAACACCAGUGGCGAAGGCGGCUCUCUGGUCUGUAACUGACGCUGAGGCGCGAAAGCAUGGGUAGCGAACAGGAUUAGAUACCCCGGUAGUCC
rnacentral:rRNA from 1 species